CCCUGAUUUAGGUAUCCUUUAUAAAUAGAUAAAGCAAUAGAUAGUAGGAAGGUAUAAAAGAAGAACCAUCAUUAUUCAGAGUCAUAAGUUUACAUAGUUUGUGAUUGUCACAAGUCGUCAAUAUGAAGGGUUGUAUAAUAUUGCUCGCUUUGGUAGUGCUGAUCGCGUGUGCCUUCAAUUUCGCGGAUGCUCAGAUCAGUUGGGGCUGUACCAUUUCCUGUGGCAUUUGGAAUGCGUGUCGAAUAAAACAGGCCAGUCACGGAAACCUGGAGAGUUGCGGUCCACAACCAGCAGGUUGUGAUUGUACCCAUUUUGCAUGGGAAGGAUAAUUACCUUUUGUUUGAUAAAUUUGUACUUUAAAUAUUAUUAUACUUUGAUUUACUGUGCUAUAUAUCUUUAAUGUGGGUCAAUAAAUAGAAAUUCUAAUACA